rnacentral:misc_RNA from 1 species
UCUCCGUAGGUGAACCUGCGGAGGGAUCAUUACUGAGUGAGGGUUUAACCGCCCGACCUCCAACCCUUUGUGAAUCGUACUCGUUGCUUCGGGGGCGACCCUGCCGUCCGCGGCUGAGCGCCCCCGGGGUCAAUCAAACACUGCAUCUGUGCGUCUGAGUAAAGAUUAAAUCAAUCAAAACUUUCAACAACGGAUCUCUUGGUUCUGGCAUCGAUGAAGAACGCAGC